rnacentral:rRNA from 1 species
GACAGAGGGUGCAAACGUUGUUCGGAAUUACUGGGCGUAAAGCGUGUGUAGGCGGUCCGCUAAGUCGGGUGUGAAAGCCCUGGGCUCAACCCAGGAAGUGCACUCGAAACUGGCGGGCUAGAGUAUCGGAGAGGUUGGUGGAAUUCUCGGUGUAGAGGUGAAAUUCGUAGAUAUCGAGAGGAACACCGGUGGCGAAGGCGGCCAACUGGACGAAUACUGACGCUGAGACACGAAAGCGUGGGUAGCAAACAGG